GUCGAGCGACUGAUUAGAAGCUUGCUUCUAUGACGUUAGCGGCGGACGGGUGAGUAACACGUGGGCAACCUGCCUGUAAGACUGGGAUAACUUCGGGAAACCGAAGCUAAUACCGGAUAGGAUCUUCUCCUUCAUGGGAGAUGAUUGAAAGAUGGUUUCGGCUAUCACUUACAGAUGGGCCCGCGGUGCAUUAGCUAGUUGGUGAGGUAACGGCUCACCAAGGCCACGAUGCAUAGCCGACCUGAGAGGGUGAUCGGCCACACUGGGACUGAGACACGGCCCAGACUCCUACGGGAGGCAGCAGUAGGGAAUCUUCCGCAAUGGACGAAAGUCUGACGGAGCAACGCCGCGUGAGUGAUGAAGGCUUUCGGGUCGUAAAACUCUGUUGUUAGGGAAGAACAAGUAUGAGAGUAACUGCUCGUACCUUGACGGUACCUAACCAGAAAGCCACGGCUAACUACGUGCCAGCAGCCGCGGUAAUACGUAGGUGGCAAGCGUUAUCCGGAAUUAUUGGGCGUAAAGCGCGCGCAGGCGGUUUCUUAAGUCUGAUGUGAAAGCCCACGGCUCAACCGUGGAUGGUCAUUGGAAACUGGGGAACUUGAGUGCAGAAGAGAAAAGCGGAAUUCCCCGUGUAGCGGUGAAAUGCGUAGAGAUGUGGAGGAACACCAGUGGCGAAGGCGGCUUUUUGGUCUGUAACUGA
rnacentral:rRNA from 1 species